UGGGGAAUAUUGGACAAUGGGCGCAAGCCUGAUCCAGCCAUGCCGCGUGAGUGAUGAAGGCCUUAGGGUUGUAAAGCUCUUUCGACGGGGACGAUAAUGACGGUACCCGUAGAAGAAGCCCCGGCUAACUUCGUGCCAGCAGCCGCGGUAAUACGAAGGGGGCUAGCGUUGCUCGGAAUCACUGGGCGUAAAGGGCGCGUAGGCGGCCAUUCAAGUCAGAGGUGAAAGCCCAAGGCUCAACCUUGGAACUGCCUUUGAUACUGUUUGGCUUGAGACCGGUAGAGGUAAGUGGAACUGCGAGUGUAGAGGUGAAAUUCGUAGAUAUUCGCAAGAACACCAGUGGCGAAGGCGGCUUACUGGACCGGUUCUGACGCUGAGGCGCGAAAGCGUGGGGAGCAAAC
rnacentral:rRNA from 1 species